AGGACGAACGCUGGCGGCGUGCUUAACACAUGCAAGUCGAGCGAGGCCCUUUCCUUCGGGAGAGGUGCCCUAGCGGCGAACGGGUGAGUAACACGUGGGCAACCUGCCCCUAGCACUGGGAUAACUCCGGGAAACCGGGGCUAAUACCGGAUACGACCUCUGAGGGCAUCCUCGGGAGGUGGAAAGCAUUGUGGCUAGGGAUGGGCCCGCGGCCUAUCAGCUUGUUGGUGAGGUAACGGCCCACCAAGGCGACGACGGGUAGCCGGCCUGAGAGGGCGACCGGCCACACUGGGACUGAGACACGGCCCAGACUCCUACGGGAGGCAGCAGUGGGGAAUAUUGCACAAUGGGCGAAAGCCUGAUGCAGCGACGCCGCGUGAGGGAUGACUGCCUUCGGGUUGUAAACCUCUUUCAGCAGGGACGAAGCGAAAGUGACGGUACCUGCAGAAGAAGCACCGGCCAACUACGCGCCAGCAGCCGCGGUAA
rnacentral:rRNA from 1 species